rnacentral:rRNA from 1 species
AUUGAACGCUGGCGGAAUGCUUUACACAUGCAAGUCGAACGGCAGCACGGGGCAACCUGGUGGCGAGUGGCGAACGGGUGAGUAAUACAUCGGAACGUGCCCAGUCGUGGGGGAUAACGUAGCGAAAGUUACGCUAAUACCGCAUACGAUCUAUGGAUGAAAGCGGGGGAUCGCAAGACCUACGCGCGAUUGGAGCGGCCGAUGUCAGAUUAGGUAGUUGGUGGGGUAAAGGCCUACCAAGCCGACGAUCUGUAGCUGGUCUGAGAGGACGACCAGCCACACUGGGACUGAGACACGGCCCAGACUCCUACGGGAGGCAGCAGUGGGGAAUUUUGGACAAAUGGGACGCAAGCCUGAUCCAGCCAUU